ensembl:lncRNA
GCCUUCUGGAUGAUAGCGGGGUGAACAGACAGUGUCUCGGGUGGCUGUUGUCCUUGGUGAUAUUUUUGGCCUUCCUGUGACAUCAGGUGGUGUAGGUGUCCUGGAGGGCAGGUAGUUUGCCCCCGGUGAUGCGUUGGGCAGACCGCGCCCCCCUCUGGCAGUUGUGGGCGGUGCCGUUGCCGUACCAAGCUGUGAUACAGCCCGACAGGAUGCUCUCGAUGGUGCAUCCACUUCCUCUUCCUCCUCAGUAACCUCCUCCUCUGUCACUCUAAACUCGUCUUCCUCUUCCUCCUCAGUAACCUCCUCCUCCUCCUGUGUCACUCUGAACUCGUCUUCCUCUUCCUCCUCAGUAACCUUCUCCUCUUCCUCUGUCACUCUGAACUCGUCUUCCUCUUCUUUCACUGUAACUUCCAUCUCCUCUUUCUCCUCUUCUUUUACUGUAACAUCCUCCUCCUCUUUCACUCUGAACGCGUCUUCCUCUUCUUUAACUGAAACGUCUUUCUCUUCUUGUUUCACGGUAACAGCCUCCUCUUCCUCCUCCUCUUUGACCAGAGCUUCUUCCUCCUCUUUCACGACAUGGUUCAGCCACAGACCCUCUUUCUUCGUCCAGCAGACAUCCUCCUCUUCUUUAACAGGAGGAGAGAAGUUUAGUGAGCUCAUGUUCGGGGAUGUUAGCUAACUACCUGGUGAAAUAAAUACAAUAGCUAGUUAACAUGUGCGACUAGCCUAGUGCUAGGCUAUUUUAGCUAUUCAGCUUGCUGAUUAGUAACGUACAUAUUAAAUUAAAUGGAGGGGGGGGGUAACUAUCUAUACGACCGAAAUUUGUUUUAAAACACAGUGAAUAAUAUACACUGAAAGCGUCUCAAGAGCUCUAAUGUUUCGGUUUGGUUUCGGCUAGAAAACUCCCGAGGUGUCUGACUGGCUGUUGUUGAUGACGGUGGAGAAACACCUCGUCCACUAGAUUAUACGUCACAGACGCACAUCCGCUAUCUCUGCUGCUGACUGGAGUGGGGUAAACGCAGUUUAGGAAAGACAAAGCUGAAAUGGCACUUUUUUUUUGGUCGCAACAACUAAAUUCACAUAGAAAUAUGUGUUAUAGAUAUGUCAUUCUCAUUGAAAUCCAGUCUAAGAAGAGGGCGUACCGGCUGGCAGUUUAUCGGAGAAGGAGGUAUACGGUGUGUCAUCCCUGCGUAUCGUCUCAUCUAUAAAGCGCGCAAUACCCAGAAUCAAAGGAAUUUAACAUAGAACACCAGCCUUCUCCUCCUCCAUAUCAGG